GGGGAUGUAGAUCUAAUUGGCAGAGCGGAACAUUUGCACUGUUCAGGCUGAGAGUUCGAAUCUCUCCGUCUCCACCA
rnacentral:tRNA from 1 species